GGGCUCACACAAGCGGUGGAGGAUGUGGCUUAAUUCGAGGCUACGCGAAGAACCUUAUCCUGGUCUUGACAUGUUUGAGAAUCCUCCCGAAAGGGAGGGGUGCCCCUCGGGGAGCUCUUACACAGGUGCUGCAUGGCUGUCGUCAGCUCGUGUCGUUAGAUGUCGGGUUAAGUCCCUUAACGAGCGAAACCCUUGUCCCUAGUUGCCAGCGAGUUAUGUCGGGGACUCUAGGGAGACUGCCGGUGUUAAACCGGAGGAAGGUGGGGAUGACGUCAAGUCCUCAUGGCCUUUAUGACCAGGGCUGCACACGUCCUACAAUGGCGCGUACAAAGGGAAGCGAACUCGCGAGAGCAAGCAAAUCCCAAAAAAGUGCGCCUUAGUUCGGAUUGCAGGCUGAAACCCGCCUGCAUGAAGUUGGAAUCGCUAGUAA
rnacentral:rRNA from 1 species